rnacentral:tRNA from 1 species
AAAAUGUAGCUUAAUAAAAGCACCUGGUUUACACCCAGAAGAUUUCAGUAAUACUGACCGUUUUGA